rfam:Gossypium hirsutum cultivar TM-1 unplaced genomic scaffold scaffold699.1, whole genome shotgun sequence
UGUUAAAAAUUUCAUCAAUUUGUACUGUUAAAACCUAACAUGGUUAACGAAAUAAUCAAACAAUGACAUGUGGUGUGCCACGUGUACCUCAUGCUGACAUUCAAAGAUCAUUUUUUAAUCGUAAAAAUGGAUGAAAUUUUUAACA